GACAGAGGGUGCAAACGUUGUUCGGAAUUACUGGGCGUAAAGCGCGUGUAGGCGGCUAAGUAAGUCGGGCGUGAAAUCCCCACGGCUCAACCGUGGAAGUGCACUCGAAACUGCAUAGCUAGAGUCCUGGAGAGGAAGGUGGAAUGCUUGGUGUAGAGGUGAAAUUCAUAGAUAUCAAGCGGAACACCGGUGGCGAAGGCGGCCUUCUGGACAGUGACUGACGCUGAGACGCGAAAGCGUGGGGAGCAAACAGG
rnacentral:rRNA from 1 species